CCCUUUCGUUUGUGUUUUAAAGCUAAUAGUUUGAAAUUAAUUAAGAGCAAUUAAAAGAAUGUUGAAGACAUUUUUUACAUUUUCAUUAGGAACCAUAUGUGGUGUCCUUCUUGCUCGAAGGGUACAAAACUUUUUUCACUUUGAAGGCCUUCGUAGCCUUGCCCCUAAAAAUGAUCUUAACAAGAAAGUUCUUGUAAGUUCUACGGUGGAAGAACAACGUCGUCCAUGAUGGAAAGAUCAAUAAAUUAUGGAGAAUUGCAAAUCAUUAUUAUCUAUUUAGUGGAACAAUGUUGGUUUUAUAAAGAUAUUGUAUUGUAGUAUGGAAACAUAUUUUAUGUUUUAAAUGUGUGGCAUAGUUACAGCUCUCAAAUGUCCUAUCCCUUAAUUGUCUCAAUUAAAUCAAUAGUCGAAGUUGAUUAUUGUAAAUAAAUAGUUGUGGGGAAUUUGUAUCCAUAUUAGAAUAGACGGUCUUGGAAUUGUAGAGUAGAUAAAAAUUACAUAUGCAAAUAAUUUAGGCUAAAUUACAUUUGUGGUCCUUUAACUUAAUCUCAGGUAACGUUUUAGUCCUUUAUCUUUUUUUUUUUUU
rnacentral:lncRNA from 1 species